rnacentral:lncRNA from 1 species
AAAUGGACAAUGAAUGAAGGAGCUGGUUCUGGGGGACAGAGCUUUCUUACUCUGCGGUGCCUUUUGGUCUAUCACAAUCUUGAAGUGGGUAUCCAAUGUCUGGAUAAAUCUGCUGGAAAACAAUAGACAGCCAAUUCCAGUGCCUGGAUGAAGACAAAAACACCCAUCAAAGAAGGACAAAUGCAUGAAGUUCUGCUAAUUCCAAGAUCACCUGAGGGCAAGUUUAGCUGGUGCUGAUGCACACACAGCACCAGGGCUUUGCCAGGUGUCAUCUGCAAUUGGUUUAAAUUCUCCACGAUGUCACAUCACAUGAUGGCGAGGCAGGUUUGAAGCCCCGGCUCUCCAAGUGACUUCCAGCGGACCGUGACGGGAAUCAAGGUCUUAUCGUCAAAGCACCAACUAUAUUUCGAGAGACAUCUGCUUUUCUCAAGAGCAACACACAAACUUGGCUCUGCCUUUUAUUUUUUAUUUUUUGUUGUUUUUCCCUCCUCCUCACUGCAGUGCUGCUGCGAGGAAGUGCAGGUGAGAGGAGGAGGAAGCAGCAAGGGGCGGUCCAGGCUGCAUCCCUGGAAAUUCAGUUGUUGAUUGUUAAGGAGCGUCAUUUCAACUUAAACUGUUCCAAAUCUCUUCCUUUGCCUGAGCUGCCCCCUGCCCCUGCCUGCUCGUGUGGGAUGUUGGAACUGGA